rnacentral:tRNA from 1 species
GGAGAGGUGGCUGAGCGGUCCAAAGCGAAGGUUUGCUAAACCUUUGAGUCGAAAGACUCGCGAGGGUUCGAAUCCCUCCCUCUCCGCCA